rnacentral:rRNA from 1 species
GACGAACGCUGGCGGCGUGCUUAACACAUGCAAGUCGAACGGUAACACCCUUCGGGGGUGCUCUGUUGGGAAGGGGUGCGUGGGAGGUGGACGAGCUGACCCCGCCUUUGGGUUUCGUGCAAGAUAACGGGGCUAAUCCUGGAAGCUCACCGCAUCCCGCCUGGGUGGGGGUGCAUAGGAUUUGCGGCUCGGGAGGGGCUGGAUGCGUAGCUGCUUGAUUGGGGGGUAGUGGCAUACCAAGGCGAGGACGGGUAGCCGGCCUGGGAGGGUGACGGGGCACACUGGGACUGAGAUACGGCCCAGACUCCUACGGGAGGCAGCAGUGGGGAAUAUUGCGCAAUGGGCGGAAGCCUGACGCAGCGACGCCGCGUGGGGGAUGACGGCCUUCGGGUUGUAAACCGCUUUCGGCUGUGACGAAGCGCAAGUGACGGUACCUGCAGAAGAAGCACCGGCCAACUACGUG